rnacentral:rRNA from 1 species
AUACGGAGGAUCCGAGCGUUAUCCGGAUUUAUUGGGUUUAAAGGGUGCGCAGGCGGCCAUUUAAGUCAGCGGUUAAAUCGUGGGGCUCAACCCCAUUCUGCCGUUGAUACUGGGUGGCUUGAUUGCGGUCGAGGUUGGCGGAAUUCGUUGUGGAGCGGUGGAAUGCAUAGAUAUGACGAAGAACACCGAUUGCGUAGGCAGCUGACCAGACCGCAAAUGACGCUCAUGCACGAAAGUGCGGGGAUCGAACAGGAUUAGAUACCCUGGUAGUCCGCACAGUAAACGAUGAAUACUUGUUUUCGGCGAUAUAAUGUCGGAGGCAAAGCGAAAGCGAUAAGUAUUCCACCUGGGGAGUACGCCGGCAACGGUGAAACUCAAAUGAAUUGACGGGG